GUUACAUGUUUUUAUAACAGGCGAAUGUUUGGUAUCCUCGUCCUUGGAUACACUCGGCCAAACACAAUAUUUGAAUAUCAUCAUUCCAAUUUUAACUUUAUCCCCCAACGCGUAAUACGAUUUUAUUAUUUUUAUUUUUUGUUUAUUUAUAUUUAUUUCCACACUUCAAUGCCUAUCGAUCGGUACGUAUUGUCACCCGUCAUCGCCACUAAAUUUAUUACGGUCAUUGUCAUUCUUCAUGAAAAAUAUCAACGGUUUAAUUUUCUUUCAUUUAAUUUAUUUAUAAAAUGA